rnacentral:rRNA from 1 species
CGCGUAGGUGGUUUGGUCAGUGAGAUGUGAAAGCCCUGGGCUUAACCUGGGAAUUGCAUUUGAUACUGCCAGACUAGAGUAUGGUAGAGGGAAGUGGAAUUCCGGGUGUAGCGGUGAAAUGCGUAGAUAUCCGGAGGAACAUCAGUGGCGAAGGCGGCUUCCUGGACCAAUACUGACACUGAGGUGCGAAAGCGUGGGUAGCAAACA